rnacentral:tRNA from 1 species
GCGGAAGUAGCUCAGUGUGUAGAGCAGCGAGUUGAAGCCUCGCGUGUCGGUGGUUCGAUUCCAUCUUUCCGCGCCA